CCCUUAGAUGUUCUGGGCGGCCCGCGCACUACAAUGGCGCUUUCAGCGAGUUCCUAUGUUGAAUUUUCCUCGGUAUUCUUGGAAGCGGCGUCUUGACUUGGGAUAGAUCCUUGUAAUUGUUGGUUUUGAACGAGGAAUUCCUUGUAAUCGCGGUUGAUCAGCUCGCGUUGAAUACGUCCCUGCCCUUUGUACACACCGCCCGUCGCUCCUACCGAUGAAUCGUCCGGUGAAGUUCACAGAGUGGCGGUUCGUGGAGUUGCUCGCGAAGUGAAAUGGACCUCACGAUUUAGAGGAAGGAGAAGUCGUAACA
rnacentral:rRNA from 1 species